UAACAUAUCAAUAAGCGGAGGAAAGAAAAUAACAAUGAUUUCCCUAGUAACGGCGAGUGAAGAGGAAAGAGCUCAAAGUUGGAAACUGUUUGGCUUAGCUAAACCGUAUUGUAAACUGUAGAAACAUUUUCCUGGCACGCCGGAUUAAUAAGUCCUUUGGAACAAGGCAUCAUGGAGGGUGAGAAUCCCGUCUUUGAUCCGAGUAGUUGUCUUUUGUGAUAUGUUUUCAAAGAGUCAGGUUGUUUGGGAAUGCAGCCUAAAUUGGGUGGUAAAUCUCACCUAAAGCUAAAUAUUUGCGAGAGACCGAUAGCGAACAAGUACCGUGAGGGAAAGAUGAAAAGAACUUUGAAAAGAGAGUUAAACAGUAUGUGAAAUUGUUAAAAGGGAACCGUUUGGAGCCAGACUGGUUUGACUGUAAUCAACCUAGAAUUCGUUCUGGGUGCACUUGCAGUCUAUACCUGCCAACAACAGUUUGAUUUGGAGGAAAAAAUUAGUAGGAAUGUAGCCUCUCGAGGUGUUAUAGCCUACUAUCAUACUCUGGAUUGGACUGAGGAACGCAGCGAAUGCCAUUAGGCGAGAUUGCUGGGUGCUUUCGCUAAUAAAUGUUAGAAUUUCUGCUUCGGGUGGUGCUAAUGUUUAAAGGAGGAACACAUCUAGUAUAUUUUUUAUUCGCUUAGGUUGUUGGCUUAAUGACUCUAAAUGACCCGUCUUGAAACACGGACCAAGGAGUCCACCAUAAGUGCAAGUAUUUGAGUGACAAACUCAUAUGCGUAAGGAAACUGAUUGAUACGAAAUCUUUUGAUGGCAGUAUCACCCGGCGUUGACGUUUUAUACUGAACUGACCGAGGUAAAGCACUUAUGAUGGGACCCGAAAGAUGGUGAACUAUGCCUGAAUAGGGUGAAGCCAGAGGAAACUCUGGCGGAGGCUCGUAGCGACUCUCACGUGC
rnacentral:rRNA from 1 species